ACUGAAAGCAGUCAGCUAACACACAAGGAAGCCUGGGAGGAAGAACAGGAAGUUGCUGAGCUUUUGAAGGAGGAGUUUCCUGCCUGGUAUGAGAAGCUUCUUCUGGAAAUGGUUCACCAUAACAGCCUCCUUAGAGAAGUUAGUAGAUACUGAUUGGUUGGAGAUCAUGACCAAAUAUGCUCUGGGAGAAGAGUGUGACUUCGAGGUUGGGAAGGAGAAAAUGCUCAAGGUGAAGAUUGUGAAGAUUCAUCCUCUGGAGAAAGUGGAUGAAGAGGCCACUGAGAAGAAAUCUGAUGGUGCCUGUGAUUCUCCAUCAAGUGACAAAGACAAUUCCAGGCAGAUUGCUCAGGACCAUCAGAAGAAGGAGACAGUUGUGAAAGAGGAUGAAGGAAGGAGAGAGAGUAUUAGUAUGUUUGAUAUUAGCUUUCCUUAGUGCUUUAUGAGAUCCUGUUUAUUUUAUUAUGAACACAUCUUUUAGGGUUCUCUAGCAACUAAAUGUGUGAUUUUUUUAUGUAGACAUGAUUUUGUUCAUUUAUGAUUCAUAGAACAACUAAAAUGUCCACAACAUGAGUCAAGACUUGAAUAUCCCUAAAUGAUUAAGAUCAUGGGAAGUCGUUUCCUCUAGUUGCUUAGAAAGCUCUGUGCAGGGCCGAGUGCUGUGGCUCAUGCCUGUAAUCCCAGCGCUUUGGGAGACUGAGGAGG